GCAUUGGUGGUUCAUUUGUAGAAUUCUAGCCUGCCACGCGGGAGACCCUGGCCCGGUUCCUGGCCAAUGCA
rnacentral:tRNA from 1 species